rnacentral:tRNA from 1 species
GGAGGUGUAGCACAGUGGUAGAAUGCUUCCUUAAUAUGAGGGAGGCCCUGGGUUCAAUCCCCAGUACCACCA